CCUACGGGGGGCAGCAGUGAGGAAUAUUGGUCAAUGGACGAGAGUCUGAACCAGCCAAGUAGCGUGAAGGAUGACUGCCCUAUGGGUUGUAAACUUCUUUUAUAAAGGAAUAAAACGAGGCACGUGUGCCGUUUUGCAUGUACGUUAUGAAUAAGGAUCGGCUAACUCCGUGCCAGCAGCCGCGGUAAUACGGAUGGUCCGGGCGUUAUCCGGAUUUAGUGGGUUGAAAGGGAGCGUAGGCCGGUCGUUAAGCGUGCCGUGAAAUUUUGUGGCUCAACCCUGAGAGGGCGGCGCGAACGGGAGACCUUGAGUGCGCGGCAGGCAGGCGGAAUUCGUGGUGUAGCGGUGACAUGCUUAGAUAUCACG
rnacentral:rRNA from 1 species